UUGACCUACGGGGCGCAGCAGUGAGGAAUAUUGGUCAAUGGGCGCGAGCCUGAACCAGCCAAGUCGCGUGAGGGAAGACGGUCCUAUGGAUUGUAAACCUCUUUUGUCAGGGAGCAAAGGGCGCCACGUGUGGCGUUUUGCGAGUACCUGAAGAAAAAGCAUCGGCUAACUCCGUGCCAGCAGCCGCGGUAAUACGGAGGAUGCGAGCGUUAUCCGGAUUUAUUGGGUUUAAAGGGUGCGCAGGCGGAAUGUCAAGUCAGCGGUAAAAUUUCGGGGCUCAACCCCGUCGUGCCGUUGAAACUGGG
rnacentral:rRNA from 1 species